rnacentral:rRNA from 1 species
UCUUAGUGGCGGACGGGUGAGUAACGCGUGGGUAACCUGCCCCAUACCGGGGGAUACCACCUGGAAACAGGUGCUAAUACCGCAUAAGCGCACGGGAGCGCAUGCUCCUGUGUGAAAAACUCCGGUGGUAUGGGAUGGACCCGCGUCUGAUUAGCCAGUUGGCAGGGUAACGGCCUACCAAAGCGACGAUCAGUAGCCGGCCUGAGAGGGUGGACGGCCACAUUGGGACUGAGACACGGUCCAAACUCCUACGGGAGGCAGCAG